UGAGACCGAGGGAAACAGUGUGUUUUGUGGACCCGAGACCGUCGAUGUUUCCCGAGGUGAAGCCGAGGGAAACAUCGACAAUCCACAAAACACACUGCUUUUCCGAGGUCUCAGUAAAUAAGUGUUUUAUUAUAUAUCAAUAGUCAAAGAAACAACAAAUUAAAGAACAAAUGAACGUAAAUACAUGAAAUAUUUUAUUGUUAAAACGUUAUAUUAAACACUGGCUACACUGCAGUUACUUAAAGCGAAAGUUUUAAUUACGUACUAGGCAUGUCCAAAGGUC